AGUGCGCUGAAACACAUUAUCCUC
rnacentral:siRNA from 1 species